rnacentral:rRNA from 1 species
UACCAUGGCUUUAACGGGUAACGGAGGAUUAGGGUUCGAUUCCGGAGAGGGAGCCUGAGAAACGGCUACCACAUCUAAGGAAGGCAGCAGGCGCGUAAAUUACCCAAUCGCGACUCGCGGAGGUAGUGACAAGAAAUAACGGACCGAAGCCUAUGUUUCGGGAUUGCAAUGAGCAGAAUUUAAACCCCUUUACGAGGAUCAAUUGGAGGGCAAGUCUGGUGCCAGCAGCCGCGGUAAUUCCAGCUCCAAUAGCGUAUAUUAAAGUUGUUGCAGUUAAAAAGCUCGUAGUUGGACUUCUGGGAGGGUGCCAAUGUCCGCUCGUUAGCGUGUGCAGCGGCGCCCUUCCAUCCUUCUGUUAACGUUUCUUGGUAUUCAGUUACUGGUUUCGGGCUCAGAUAUUUUACCUUGAGAAAAUUAGAGUGUUUCAGGCAGGCUUGCGCCGGAAUACAUUAGCAUGGAAUAAUAGAAUAGGACUUUAGUCUCCUUUGUUGGUUUGAGGGACUGAAGUAAUGAUUAAUAGGGAUAGUUGGGGGCAUUAGCAUUUAAUUGUCAGAGGUGAAAUUCUCGGAUUUGUUAAAGACUAACUUAU